ACACGAAUCGACAGUUCUUCACGAUUUUGUUGAAGCAACCGUCUAGUUUCAUCCAUCUGACGAUCCAACAUCGUCUGAAUCAUCAAUUGCACACCAGCCAUGGUUAUUGGCUCAGGUGCUGCUGCUACGACAGGUAUUGGCUCAAUCACUGGUGGUUGAUUCCUGUUUUCGUCAGCAUUUCCAACUCCACUUCUUGUUCUCACCAUUUUGAUCUACACCGAAUAAGGUGAAAUUAGAUCCUCAAUCAUGAUAGAUAUUCAAAUCAUCCUUAUCACUCCGAAACGUUUACAUGCUAGUUCUAAUAUCGUAGACGUACGCUUAGAAUCCUACACACAUAAGGUUUCUAGAUCCGGUCGGCAACAGACCAUAGAUCCGAACAAAUAAUAUCAUAUAUGGCAACAUAUAACAUUUAGCACAUAAAGCAUUUUAGGCAACUUUCCUAAAAUAAACUAGUGCUCGUGUCUAAAUCACAACAGACACACAUCUCAAAACUUCACUUAGCAUUCUAAGUUUAAGUCUAGAAAUCCUACAAAUUCCUAGUUCGCUUAAACUAAUGCUCUGAUACCAACUGUGACAUCCCCAAAAUCUCGGCCAGAAAAGACCGAUUUUCAUUUAUGCUUUUAAAUAUUUUCAGAGUAAAUCCUUUUGAUUUGAAAGAGUUGCGGAAUUUGUUCCCAAAAACAAAACAUGAUAAAACAUUGUUUACCGAAGCAUUUCAUAAAAGAAAUGUAUUUUCAUUAUAAUCAAAACUCGGGGUGUCAUGUUCCGAUACAGACCAAUAAGCAUAAACGAAUACAUUACAAGUCAUAUAACAAAUAUAAACAUAUGCAGACUUGUAAACAAAACAACUUGAUGGUUCAUCCAUCUCAUGCCCUUCCGCCACUACCUGUAAUACAAUUUAAAACUGAGUGGGUCAGGCUUGGGAGCCUGGUGAGCAUAUAGGGUUUUCAACCCACAAUAAAUAUCAUAUUUAAUUUUCACCAACCAACAAUAACCCAAUUACCCAUUCCCGUUAUUCUCACUUUAAUGUCCCUAAAACAACUAACAUAAGGGACCUAGUCUAAGAAUAUUUCAUCGGGGCGACAACACAUGCUUCGGGGGUACCUCAGCAAUAUAAGUCAAAUAAGGCAACCAUGAGGGGGAUGGAGUACAGCGAAUGAACACCCAAGUUCAUUAACACCUACAGGUGGCGAACCUGCUAAUGUUUCCACAAGACUGUCUAGAAUAGCCAGUGGUCGUCAUCUAAACUCCGCUAGAUGACUCAAUCAAACAACAACGAGGCCUCUCAUCUGUUUAUUACACACCAACUGUCUACCCAUGUUCUACCCAACAUAUUAGUAGAUAAAAAUAUACAUUUGUAUACAUAGUUUAAAGAAAACCUGUAUAGCAUGCUUUAAUCAACACAUAUAUCACAUAACAGAUGAGGCACACACACACAUAACACAUAUCUCAUAAAGAAAUAAGCAGAUCUAUAAGAUAGAAGAGAGUGAAUACUCAUUCACACAUAACACAACCAAAUAUAUACACAUAGCACGUAUUUUUAUAUAAAAUACUUCGUAUUAUUGUAUUAGAAGAAAUAACUACACACUCACUUGAUCAGAAGAUGAUCGGACAGCACUACGGCUUAUAGAAGUAGUAAUCCACAGCAGAUCUGGAAGAUCUUCUCGAAAAUCGAACUUCUCGCGGGCAGAGCUUCGACUCGGGAACCGCACUUUUCGGGAUCUUCAGGAUCUCGGGACUUGCCUCGGGGCUAGAGUAUGAUACCGGGACUUCGGGGUAGCUUCGGGGGUUUUUGCACAGAGCUUCGACACGAAAACGAGAGGGAAUUGGCAAAAAUACCCGGAACCCUCGCAUCCUAUUUAUAGGAGGCUGGAGCCUCGGAGUACGCGGGGCGUACUGCGUUACGCGGGGCGUACUGCCCAAAACGUCAUUGCUUACGUAUCCGAAGUGCUCGAGUGCGAGUGUCGACAUCCCUCGGAGUACGCGGGGCGUACUCGAGUACGCGGGGCGUACCUCGGAUCAGAUCGGUGACUCCUUCGGAUAAUGCUUCCGAAUUUUGAAUUAAAAAUAAAUACAAAAUGAUUAAUAAACUUCGGAAAUUCAUAACUUCUUCAUACGAACUCCGUUUUCGACGUUCUUUAUAUCCACGCGAAGGUGAGACCACGCUCUACGACUUUCGUUUAGACUCCGUCGGCUAAUUUUGACUUUAUUUUUAUUAAUUAUUUUUAAUAGGCCGGGACAGAAACUUUCGUUAUAAAUUCAUAACUUCUUCGUUUGACGUCCGUUCUCGCCUAACUUUUUAUCGUUUCAAUACCAACAAUGAGAUCUUCGAUUCUCAUUUAGAUUGCUUCGGCUAACAACCGCUCGAUCUCAAAUCGAGUAAAACAGGCUGUAUAUCGCUAAGCCGGAACUUCGAUAAAUCAUAACUUCCUCAUACGAAGUCAGAUUUGGGCGUUCUAUAUAUAUUCGGAAACCUCGUUUCAACUACUACAACAUUAACCAAAGAUAUUAAGUUUAUUUUACACUUAAAUUUUGACGCUUAUUUUUAUUCUUAAUUAAUCAAACCACAUAAUUAAGCAAUUAAGCACAAAACACAUAAUACUCAAAUAAUACAAUCUUAUUAUUUCAAAACGGGUUACAAAGGUUAACCUAGACUAUUACAUUGCUAAAAAUGGCAAGCCCGGAAACACAGGCGUUACAAUUCUCUCCACCUUAGAAUGAUUCCGUCCCCGGAAUCACACAUCAACAAACAAAUGCGGAUAGCGACUCAACAUGUCACUCUCCGUCUCCCAGGUGAGAUUCGGCCCAUUCGUGUGUUUCCAUCGGACAAGCACUAACCCAACCAUUUUGCGUCGCAACUUCUUAGUCUUUCGGUCAACAAUUGCCUCUGGUUCUUCAAUCAACCUUUUGUUCUCAUCAAUUCUCAAUUCAGAAAUUGGAAUUAUAUCGGGAACUUCUCCCGUGAACUUCCUCAAAUAACACACAUGAAAGGUGUUGUGAAUUCCAUUCAGUUCUUCGGGUAAUUCGAGCUUGUAAGCUUGAUUCCCAAUCCUCUGAAGGACUUUAAACGGUCCAAUAAACCUUGGACUCAACUUUCCCCUUUUACCAAAUCUUAUAAGUCCCUUCCACGGCGAGACUUUAAGCAAAACCGAAUCUCCAACCUCAAAAGUCAUCGGUCUUCGCUUCUUGUCAGCAUAGCUCUUUUGACGAUCUUGAGCUGCUAACAUUCUUUCCCUAAUUAUUUUCAACUUUUCAGCAGUUUGAUGAACCAUCUCCGGUCCCAUAAACUGCUUUUCCCCAGCCUCAAGCCAACAAGACGGCGUACGACACUUCUGUCCAUACAAAGCUUGAUAAGGUGCCAUCUUAAUGCUCGAGUGAAAACUAUUAUUAUAGGAAAAUUCUACCAACGGUAAAUGUUCAUCCCAAUUACCUAGGAAUUCCAAGGUACAUGCUCUCAGCAUAUCUUCAAGUGUUUGUAUUGUUCUUUCACUCUGACCAUCAGUCUGCGGAUGGUAAGCUGUGCUUAAACAUAACUUGGUACCCAUUUCCUCUUGUAGACUUUUCCAAAACCUUGAGGUGAAACGGCUAUCACGAUCCGAUACAAUCGUUAACGGAACACCGUGAAGCCUCACAAUUUCCUUCACGUAAGAAUUCGCAAGCUUUUCCAUAGACCAUUUCUCCCUGGCCGCUAUGAAAUGCGCACUCUUAGUGAAUCGAUCAACGACCACCCAAAUCAUGUCGUGACCAUUCUUUGUUCUGGGCAGUUUAGUGACAAAAUCCAUAGCAAUGUCUUCCCACUUACCCAUAGGCACAGGCAAUGGUUCUAAACUCCCGUAAGGUUUCUGAUGUUGUGUCUUGACUCUCGCACAAGUCACACACUCGGCCACAUACUUUGCAACAUCAAGCUUCAUCGUCGGCCACCAGUAGUAGGGUUUCAGGUCCCUAUACAUUUUAGUGCUACCCGGAUGAAUUGAGUACAUGGUUUUGUGAGCUUCUUCCAUCAGAAGAUCCCUAAUUCCUCCUGACUUAGGUACCCAAAUACGAUCUUGGAAUACCUUCAGUCCAUGACCGUUAGUACCAAACACCAACGUUUUACCCAAACGUUCCUCCUUUCGGUCAUUUUUCUCAGAAGCUUCCUCUUGAGCUUUCUUUAUACUUUCCACAAUAGUCGAGACAACUUCAAUUCUCAACGCUCUUGGCCUCUUCCUUUCAAGAUUGACUUUCCGACUGAGAGCAUCAGCAACAACAUUAGCUUUACCGGGGUGGUAAAGUAUCUCGCAGUCGUAGUCUUUAAGUAAUUCUAGCCAGCGUCGUUGCCUCAUAUUCAAUUCUUUCUGAUUAAAGAGGUAUUGGAGACUCUUAUGAUCAGUGAAAAGUUUGCACUUCGUGCCAUAGAGGUAAUGCCUCCAUAUUUUCAGAGCGAAAACUACCGCUGCCAACUCCAAAUCAUGAGUCGGGUAAUUCUUUUCAUGCUCUUUCAGCUGUCGAGACGCAUAUGCUAUCACCUUUUCUCUUUGGGUCAAAACACAACCCAAUCCAACACCAGACGCAUCGCUAUAAACAGCGAAGUCUUCAACUCCAUCGGGUAGAGAAAGUAUCGGUGCCUCGCAUAGCUUCUUCUUUAACUUCUCGAAUGCUUCUUUAUGCUUCUCACUCCAAGCAUAAGUAGCUCCUUUGUGGGUCAAAGCUGUUAAUGGAGUAGCAAUCGAAGAAAAGCCUUGGAUAAACCUUCGGUAAUAUCCGGCUAAUCCUAAAAAGCUUCGAAUCUCCGUGGGACUUUUCGGUUGUUCCCACUUCGUCACAGCUUCGAUCUUCGCUGGAUCAACCAUUAUCCCUUCUUGGUUGACCACGUGACCCAAGAAUUGGACCUCACGAAUCCAAAAAUCACAUUUGGAGAACUUCGCAUAAAGCUUCUCCUUCUUCAAAACUUCUAACACUUCUCGCAAGUGUCUGCCAUGCUCCUCCUGGCUUUUCGAGUAGAUCAGAAUGUCGUCUAUGAACACUAUCACGGAUUUAUCAAGGAAAGGAUUACAAACCCUAUUCAUCAAAUCCAUGAACGCUGCUGGAGCAUUGGUUAGUCCAAACGACAUAACCAAGAACUCGUAGUGUCCAUAUCUAGUUCUGAAUGCAGUCUUCUCGAUAUCUUGCUCUCUUACUUUUAGCUGAUGAUAUCCUGACCUAAGAUCGAUCUUCGAGAAAUAGCUCGAACCUUGCAAUUGAUCAAACAGGUCAUCAAUCCUCGGCAACGGAUAUCUAUUCUUUAUUGUUGCCUUGUUCAGCUCUCUGUAAUCGAUGCACAUUCUCAUACUUCCAUCUUUCUUCUUCACAAAUAACACCGGAGCUCCCCAGGGCGAUGAACUAGGUCUAAUGAAACCUUUGUCCAAUAACUCCUGAAGUUGCAUCAUCAGCUCCUUCAUCUCCGUCGGUGCUAAUCGAUAAGGUGCUUUUGCUAUUGGCGUGGUUCCUGGUAACAAGUCUAUUCUGAACUCCACUUGUCUAUCAGGUGGUAAUCCAGGAAGAUCUUCGGGAAAUACUUCCGGAUAAUCACACACCACUGGAAUACUCUGCAUCACCUUCUUUUCCUUCUUAGCAUCAAUCACGAAUGCUAAAUAUGAUGUACAUCCCUUGGUCAAACACUUUCUGGCUUUCAUUAGAGAAAUGAUUCCAGAAUUCACUCUGCGUUUGUCCCCAUACACCAUAAACGAAUCUUUCCCAGGCGGGUUUACUUUAACUAUCUUCUUCUUGCAUAAAAUUUCGGCAUCAUUGGCGCUAAGCCAAUCCAUUCCCAACACGAUGUCGAAACCAUUAAGUUCGAUAGGCAAUAAUUCCUCGUGAAACUUAUUCCCAUUAAGGUCGAUUAAGAUGUUUUUCAUACGAUGGCUAACAGGUACAAACUUGCCACUAGCAACUUCGACUAAUAAAGCAUUAUCUAGUCUAUCAACAGGCAAAGCUAGUUUUCUACCAAACUCAUGCGAAAUAAAGGAGUAGUUGGCUCCAGAAUCAAACAAAAUUUGAGCAGGUAAUUCGUUUACGAGAAAGGUACCUGAAGCGACAUCAGCUUCAUCUUUCGCAGCCUCAAGUGUCAUCUGGAAGGCUCUCGCCUUCGGCUUUGGUGGAAUGUUGGGCCUAGCUGCCUCCUUCUUCUUCGGACAGUCUUUCAAAAUGUGCCCCUCUUCAUUGCAACCAAAACACAUCCUUUUGUUGUUCGGACACUCAUUGGCAAAAUGUCCAACCUUUCCACACUUGUAGCAGGUUACAUCCUCGCUACAUUUCCCAAAGUGCUUUUUCUUACACUUAUCACACCACUUCGCUUCGCCUCCCUUUCCUCCAAACUUUUUCGAAUCAGAUUUCGAAAAUUUGCCUUUCUUACCGGAACCAGAUGUUCCCUCAAACUUUCUCUUCUCACCAACCUCAACCUUGUCGGUGGUUCUCCCCUUAAUCAUGUUCUCAACAGACUUGGCAGCCCAGAUAGCUGCCUCUAGAGUAUGUGCCUGACAUACUGGCACCUCGUACUCCCAUGGGAGUCCCUUCGCAUACCGGUCCACCUUUGUCAGCUCGUCAGGAACGAUACGCAAGGCAAACUCCAUCUUAUCAGUGAAGUUGUUGGUGUAUUCAUCAACUGACAUGCUGCCUUUUGUCAAUGUCAGAAACUUGUUCUCUAGUUCCAACAGAUUUUGAGCCGAGCAGAACUUGCGCUUGAACUGCACCAAGAACUCUGCCCAUGUCAAUUGAAGUGGCUCAUUAGGGCUCAACGUCUUCCCUAGAGUGUUCCACCAACGAACGGCUCCACCUCGGAACUGACGCACUGCAUAGAUAGUCUGCAACUUGCCUCUGCAGCCACAAGUCAUGAAGGCUAACUCCAUUUCGGAGAUCCAAUCCAUAACUCCAAUCGGAUCCUCCUUUCCAUUGAAGGUCGAUGGUUUGCAAGUUAGAAAGUCCUUGUACUUGCAUCCCAUUCCAUCAUUCCUUCCAUCAUGGUUGUUUUGCCUAACUAUCGGUGGGUUGGCUUGACCAACAGACCCACUGAAGUUUCCACCUUCCGAGUGCCCUUCAUUUAAUUCAGGCUCUUCCACACGAAUUGACAGUUCUUCACGAUUCUGUUGAAGCAACCGUCUAGUUUCAUCCAUCUGACGAUCCAACAUCGUCUGAAUCAUCAUUUGCACACCAACCAUGGUUAUUGGCUCAGGUGCUGCUGCUACGACAGGUACUUGCUCAAUCACUGGUGGUUGAUUCCUGUUUUCGUCAGCAUUUCCAACUCCACUUCUUGUUCUCACCAUUUUGAUCUACACACCGAAUAAGGUGAAAUUAGAUCCUCAAUCACGAUAGAUAUUCAAAUCAUCCUUAUCACUCCGAAACGUUUACAUGCUAGUUCUAAUAUCAUAGAUGUACGCUUAGAAUCCUACACACAUAAAGUUUCUAGAUCCGGUCGGCAACAGACCAUAGAUCCGAACAAAUAAUAUCAUAUAUGGCAACAUAUAACAUUUAGCACAUAAAGCAUUUUAGGCAACUUUCCUAAAAUAAACCAGUGCUCGUGUCUAAAAUAUAACAGACACACAUCUCAAAACUUCACUUAGCAUUCUAAGUUUAAGUCUAGAAAUCCUACAAAUUCCUUGUUCGCUUAAACUAAUGCUCUGAUACCAAAUGUGACAUCCCCAAAAUCUCGGCCAGAAAAGAUCGAUUUUCA
rnacentral:lncRNA from 1 species